rnacentral:rRNA from 1 species
UGCCAGACUCCUACGGGAGGCAGCAGUGGGGAAUAUUGGGCAAUGGACGCAAGUCUGACCCAGCAACGCCGCGUGAAGGAAGAAGGCUUUCGGGUUGUAAACUUCUUUUAAGGGGGAAGAGCAGAAGACGGUACCCCUUGAAUAAGCCACGGCUAACUACGUGCCAGCAGCCGCGGUAAUACGUAGGGGGCAAGCGUUAUCCGGAUUUACUGGGUGUAAAGGGGGCGCAGACGGCGAUGCAAGCCAGGAGUGAAAGCCCGGGGCCCAACCCCGGGACUGCUCUUGGAACUGCGUGGCUGGAGUGCAGGAGGGGCAGGCGGAAUUCCUGGUGUAGCGGUGAAAUGCGUAGAUAUCAGGAGGAACACCGGUGGCGAAGGCGGCCUGCUGGACUGCAACUGACGUUGAGGCCCGAAAGCGUGGGGGGCAAACAGGAUUAGAUACCCGAGUAA